UACGGGGGGGGCAAGCGUUGUUCGGAAUUACUGGGCGUAAAGAGCUCGUAGGUGGCCAACUAAGUCGGACGUGAAAUCCCUCAGCUUAACUGGGGAACUGCGUCCGAUACUGGAUGGCUUGAGUUUGGGAGAGGGAUGCGGAAUUCCAGGUGUAGCGGUGAAAUGCGUAGAUAUCUGGAGGAACACCGGUGGCGAAGGCGGCAUCCUGGACCAACACUGACACUGAGGAGCGAAAGCCAGGGGAGCAAACGGG
rnacentral:rRNA from 1 species